ensembl:processed_transcript
ACAUACAUACACUCACACACAGACACACACACACACUGGGAGUGAGUGGAUGAUUGCACGAGCAGGAAGCGCUGACCAUACACAGAUAGAGAGAGAAAAAGAGCGAGAGAGAUAGUCCGAGAGAGACAAUCCAGCACUCACACUUUUAGCUCAUACUGAGAGAACACAAACUACAGACGUGCUGCUUUGGGCUUUCCACACCGUUUUGUGGAAGUACUUCUGAAAGGCGAAGCUCCUCUCCGUUACUUUGCCCUGGGGACACUUUUGUUUCUUAUUCAAAUAAAUUGGGAUAUUACAUGUGACAUGCUGCCCUCGUUUCCACGAGAACUGCAUCUUUCUUCAGAGUGCUCUUUGAACGUGCAGAGCCCUGGCUGUUCCCUGAUAAAGGCUGUUGGUGUUCUUCAGAGGGAAUGACUGAGCGCUGAGGAGCCAGGAUUGCUUGCACGUGUGAGACACUUGUGAAGAAGCAUCGGGAGGCAGACGAGAGAAAACUGUUCAAGAGAACACAAAGGAGAGGACCAGGCGCAAACAAACAAACAAACAAACAUAUAACAGUUUUGGCCAAAAAAUGGAUCUCCCUCCUUUUAGGGGUUUAUCUGAUGUACCCUGAUAACGGUCAGCUUUGCAGUUCAGCCCAUACCCUGGUGGUCUGGAAAGAAUGGAUCCAGUACCACCUUUUCGGAUGGACCCUGAAAGCCUGGAUCUUCAGCAAGUUCCUGUA